UUAAGUUCAGCGGGUAUUCCUACCUGAUCCGAGGUCAACCUUGUGGAAGGGGGGUGUUUCACGGCUGGAACCCGCGGCACGACCGGAGCGAGGAGUUGUGCUACUGCGCUCGGAGGUGCCAGCGAGCCCGCCACUGUCUUCAGGGCCUGCGGGCAGCCGCAGGGCCCCAACGCAAGCCCGGGGGCUUGAUGGUUGAAAUG
rnacentral:misc_RNA from 1 species